GUAAUGUGGUGUGUGAUUGCAUAGCAUGUUUUGGUCAUGUUGGAAGUUUGUUGCUCAUUACAAU
rnacentral:tRNA from 1 species